GACGUAGGAGGCGAGCGUUGUUCGGAUUCAUUGGGCGUAAAGGGUGCGUAGGCGGCGCGGUAAGUCGGGUGUGAAAUCUUGGAGCUUAACUCCGAAACUGCAUUCGAUACUGCCGUGCUUGAGGACUGGAGAGGAGACUGGAAUUUACGGUGUAGCGGUGAAAUGCGUAGAUAUCGUAAGGAAGACCAGUGGCGAAGGCGGGUCUCUGGACAGUUCCUGACGCUGAGGCACGAAGGCCAGGGGAGCAAACGGG
rnacentral:rRNA from 1 species